rnacentral:rRNA from 1 species
AUUGAACGCUGGCGGCGUGCUUAACACAUGCAAGUCGAUCGGUAACAGGUGUAGCAAUACAUGCUGACGAGAGGCGGACGGGUGAGUAAUGCUUGGGAAUCUGCCUAUUAGUGGGGGACAACCCGGGAAACUCGGGCUAAUACCGCAUACGCUCUACGGAGGAAAGCCGGGGACCGCAAGGCCUGGCGCUAAUAGAUGAGCCCAAGUCGGAUUAGCUAGUUGGUAGGGUAACGGCCUACCAAGGCGACAAUCCGUAGCUGGUCUGAGAGGACGACCAGCCACACCGGAACUGAGACACGGUCCGGACUCCUACGGGAGGCAGCAGUGGGGAAUAUUGGACAAUGGGGGCAACCCUGAUCCAGCGACGCGCGUGGGUGAAGAAGGCCUGCGGGUUGUAAAGCCCUUUCGGUGGGAAGAAAAGUCUCGACCUAAUACGUCGGGACCUUGACGUAACCACUAAAGAAGCACCGGCUAACUCUGUGCCAGCAGCCG